rnacentral:rRNA from 1 species
UACGUAGGGGCAAGCGUUGUCCGGAAUCAUUGGCGUAAAGCGCGUGUAGGCGGCCAGAAAGUCCGCUGUGAAAACUCGAGGCUCAACCUCGAGACGUCGGUGGAAACUGCCUCGCUAGAGUCCGGAAGAGGAGAGUGGAAUUCCUGGUGUAGCGGUGAAAUGCGCAGAUAUCAGGAAGAACACCCGUGGCUAAGGCGGCUCUCUAGUACGGUACUGACGCUGAGACGCGAAAGCGUGGGGAGCGAACAGG